UACGAGCGUCAACUUAAAACCCAAAAGACUUGGCGGUGCCCUAUACCACCUAGAGGAGCCUGUUCUAUAAUCGAUAAUCCCCGAUUCACCUCACCAUCUCUUGCCAAUACCGCCUGUAUACCUCCGUCGCCAACUGACCCCAUAAGGGCUAAAGUCGGUUAAAUGGCUUUCCUCCAGUAAGUCAGGUCAAGGUGCAGCGAAUGAGAUGGGAAGAAAUGGGCUACAUUUUCUACUAAUAGAAUAUACGAAAGAUCACUAUGAAAUCUGAUUGGAAGGUGGAUUUAGCAGUAAAAAGAGACUAGAGUGCUCUUUUUAAGUUGGCUCUAGGGCGCGUACACACCGCCCGUCACCCUCUUCGACCCGUUUAAAACAAUUUAUAAUUUCCCACUAGGAACAAAGAAGAGGCAAGUCGUAACAUGGUAAGUCCACCGGAAGGUGGACUUGGAAC
rnacentral:rRNA from 1 species